rnacentral:snRNA from 12 species
AUACUUACCUUACAACGAUCGGUUCUGCUCACGAAGGGAACUGGUCCAGUGGAGGAGCUGCUCAGUUCACGCGUGAAAUAACGCAGAGUGUACGUGAUCCCACUGUACAAUGGACUCAGUCUAUUGAUGCUGUAUAAUUUUUGACCUGGCGAGAUGGCGCUUGCGCCUCUUGCC